rnacentral:tRNA from 1 species
GGGCUCGUAGCUCAGUUGGUAGAGCAUUUGACUUUUAAUCAAAGGGUCGUGGGUUCGAAUCCCGCCGGGCUCACCA